AUUGAACGCUGGCGGCAGGCUUAACACAUGCAAGUCGAGCGAGCGGCGGACGGGUGAGUAAUGUCUGGGAAACUGCCUGAUGGAGGGGGAUAACUACUGGAAACGGUAGCUAAUACCGCAUACCAUCAGAUGUGCCCAGAUGGGAUUAGCUAGUAGGUGGGGUAAUGGCUCACCUAGGCGACGAUCCCUAUCUGGUCUGAGAGGAUGACCGGCCACACUGGAACUGGUACCCGGUCCAAACUCCUACGGAAGGCAGCAGUGGGGAUUAUUGCACAAUGGGCGCAAUCCUGCUGCAGCCAUGCCGCGUGUGUGAAGAAGGCCUUCGGGUUGUAAAGCACUUUGAGCGAGGAGGCGUUACUCACAGAGGAAGCACCGGCUAACUCCGUGCCAGCAGCCGCGGUAAUUC
rnacentral:rRNA from 1 species